GUGAUGCUCCUGCCUUAGCCUCCUAAAUGCUGGAAUUACAGUCUGCUGAUCUAUCCCUUGCUGAAGGUGGUGUGUUAAAGUCCUCAACUAUUAUUAUUGUUUUGUGGAUUUGUCUCAGCCACUGGUGUACUUGUCAAGUGUUCCAAAAAUGUUGUCAAAUCAAUAAAUUCCUGUUUAAUCCACUCUUA